rnacentral:lncRNA from 1 species
GUACCAGCCAGCCACAUGAUUCAGGCUGGCCUCCACUGGGCUUGGAGUAAAAAUAACAGUUCUGGUGGUGGGCAGGGUCUUUGCAUCCCCAGUGGGCACCUCAGAAGGCUGUUCGGCUGGGGAAGAGGACCUCGGGAAUGUAGACAGGAUUGGCAGCCCUUCCCAGAGCCUUCAGGAAACCCCACCAAGCUGCCGGGAGCUGGCAUGCUUACUGGGACCGGUGAGCUGAGGAGUGAGUCUGUCCAGUAGACUCAGGACGAGAAGUCCAAACCUCUGAGGCCUGAUGAGGAACUGCUUGAUAGAAACUGGCAUAAUCUCCCUCCAGCAGGUCUGUCUCCCACCCAGUGCUUAUCACAGUAGGGGCUGUUUCUCACUUUGUACAUGGUACUAUCUUAAACACAGAGAAGGAAGCGUCACCUCCCCAGCUGCGGGUGAUCUGGAGGCUUGACUGCUGCGGGACUGAAUUGAAAUCUCCCCAGUCUGGGAGAUUCAGUCUAAUAAGGUGCUGUUGGUAAGAGUUUGUGUCCUGUGGGAACUGCUUCUGUUCAUAGGCAGACGGGCAGUUGAGCCGUUUGGCUGAGACCUUAGGCAAGAGGGUGCAGACUUUGCUCGUUGACCAGCCUAGAGGGAGGAGACAGGCAAUGCAUUUCGAUCUUAGAACUGAGGACUGAGGACUUUAGAAUAUGAACGCUGAAGUGUGGCGUUUACUCUUAGAAGUUCUGUCUACGGUGUAUGCCUUACUUCAUGGAGACGGAGACAGAUUCCCAAGGCGAGGUUGCCAGAACCAGGAAGACAGGGCACUAGGGUUUCCAAGCAGGCAAGUUUCCCAGUCUCUUGCUCCAAUAACAUUUCUACAUCUGGGCAGACAGGAGGGAAUUUCCACCAUUCUAGCAUCAGAUACUCAGGAUCCCUGGCAAUGCUCACCCUUCCCUUUCUUGCUUGAUGUCAGUAAAGGAUUUCUCGUCUAUAGACUCCUGAUGCAUCAGAGUUGAAAAGAUUUUAGAAGCUAUGGAGAUGGAUUCUGAUAGAAAACGAAACUGAACCAGGGAAAUGAUGGACCCAAGAGCCUGUGAUUUCUAGGGUUGAAAUCAAGUCCUCAGACAAUACUUUUGGGUUUUUCCUCCAUACAACCCCAAACUGUUUGUGACCUCUGUAUAGCAGAGGCCUCUUCCCAUUCCUACUUCUAUUUCCUAUCUCACUCUUGAACUGUACCUUAUUCUUGCUCAGCUGACUUUCUUAGAAGUUUUUUACUAUUUGGUAUUUUAACCCAAACCAAAGACAAACAAAAAGAAAGAAAGAAGUCAUUGCAACUGGAGGUUCCCAGAGAGAUGAGAAUGGGUUGAAAAAUGUCCUAAAUUCUUUAGUACUUGCCCUCAAAGCUGUACGCACCAUUGGCACGAGCAUCCCCAAAGGCUGCAUUUUAAUAAGCAUCAGGGUGAACCAAAGGCACACUAACAUUUCAGUAGUACUGCUUUAGAGAGAGGCUGGGCUGAAUUCUUCCCUCUUCAUGCCACCGAGUCUUCUGCCAUCCCCUUCUUGUCCCUUCCAUCCCAUUUCUGCCUCUCCUUGACACAUAGGGUCCUGAUGAGGGGAAAGGGUGCUUUGUAAAAGAGGACUCGAAGUGGAAAAUUUGAAGAAAAAAUAAAAUAAAGCCAACUUAAAAGAUCUUCUGCA